UACGUAGGGUGCGAGCGUUAAUCGGAAUUACUGGGCGUAAAGUGUGCGCAGGCGGCGUCGCAAGUCGAGUGUGAAAGCCCCGGGCUUAACUUGGGAAUUGCGCUCGAAACUACGAUGCUGGAGUAUGGCAGAGGAAGGUGGAAUUCCACGUGUAGCGGUGAAAUGCGUAGAGAUGUGGAGGAACACCGAUGGCGAAGGCAGCCUUCUGGGCCAAUACUGACGCUCAUGCACGAAAGCGUGGGGAGCAAAC
rnacentral:rRNA from 1 species